UCGAGAAUUUUUCUCAAUGGGGGCAACCCUGAAGGAGCGACGCCGCGUGGAGGAUGAAGGUUUUCGGAUUGUAAACUCCUGUCAUUGGUGAACAAGGUUGCGCGGUUAACUGCCGUGGAACUCGAUAGUAGCCGAAGAGGAAGAGACGGCUAACUCUGUGCCAGCAGCCGCGGUAAUACAGAGGUCUCGAGCGUUGUUCGGAUUCAUUGGGCGUAAAGGGUGCGUAGGCGGCGGGGUAAGUCUGAUGUGAAAUGCCGGGGCUCAACCUUGGCACUGCAUUGGAUACUGCCUUGCUUGAGUACUGGAGAGGAGACUGGAAUUUACGGUGUAGCAGUGAAAUGCGUAGAGAUCGUAAGGAAGGCCAGUGGCGAAGGCGAGUCUCUGGACAGUGACUGACGCUGAGGCACGAAGGCCAGGGGAGCAAACGG
rnacentral:rRNA from 1 species